rnacentral:rRNA from 1 species
CAGCAGCCGCGGUAAUACGAAGGGUGCAAGCGUUAAUCGGAAUUACUGGGCGUAAAGCGUGCGUAGGCGGUGAGUUAAGUCUGCUGUGAAAUCCCCGGGCUCAACCUGGGAAUGGCAGUGGAUACUGGCUCGCUAGAGUGUGUCAGAGGAUGGUGGAAUUCCCGGUGUAGCGGUGAAAUGCGUAGAGAUCGGGAGGAACAUCAGCGGCGAAGGCGGCCAUCUGGGACAACACUGACGCUGAGGCACGAAAGCGUGGGGAGCAAACAGGAUUAGAUACCCGCGUAGUCCCUGUCUCUUAUAC